UUUUAUGGAGAGUUUGAUCCUGGCUCAGAGUGAACGCUGGCGGCGUGCCUAAUACAUGCAAGUCGAACGAUGAAGCUUCUAGCUUGCUAGAAGUGGAUUAGUGGCGCACGGGUGAGUAACGCAUAGGUUAUGUGCCUCUUAGUUUGGGAUAGCCAUUGGAAACGAUGAUUAAUACCAGAUACUCCCUACGGGGGAAAGAUUUAUCGCUAAGAGAUCAGCCUAUGUCCUAUCAGCUUGUUGGUAAGGUAAUGGCUUACCAAGGCUAUGACGGGUAUCCGGCCUGAGAGGGUGAACGGACACACUGGAACUGAGACACGGUCCAGACUCCUACGGGAGGCAGCAGUAGGGAAUAUUGCUCAAUGGGGGAAACCCUGAAGCAGCAACGCCGCGUGGAGGAUGAAGGUUUUAGGAUUGUAAACUCCUUUUGUUAGAGAAGAUAAUGACGGUAUCUAACGAAUAAGCACCGGCUAACUCCGUGCCAGCAGCCGCGGUAAUACGGAGGGUGCAAGCGUUACUCGGAAUCACUGGGCGUAAAGAGCGCGUAGGCGGGAUAGUCAGUCAGGUGUGAAAUCCUAUGGCUUAACCAUAGAACUGCAUUUGAAACUACUAUUCUAGAGUGUGGGAGAGGUAGGUGGAAUUCUUGGUGUAGGGGUAAAAUCCGUAGAGAUCAAGAGGAAUACUCAUUGCGAAGGCGACCUGCUGGAACAUUACUGACGCUGAUUGCGCGAAAGCGUGGGGAGCAAACAGGAUUAGAUACCCUGGUAGUCCACGCCCUAAACGAUGGAUGCUAGUUGUUGGAGGGCUUAGUCUCUCCAGUAAUGCAGCUAACGCAUUAAGCAUCCCGCCUGGGGAGUACGGUCGCAAGAUUAAAACUCAAAGGAAUAGACGGGGACCCGCACAAGCGGUGGAGCAUGUGGUUUAAUUCGAAGAUACACGAAGAACCUUACCUAGGCUUGACAUUGAGAGAAUCCGCUAGAAAUAGUGGAGUGUCUGGCUUGCUAGACCUUGAAAACAGGUGCUGCACGGCUGUCGUCAGCUCGUGUCGUGAGAUGUUGGGUUAAGUCCCGCAACGAGCGCAACCCCCUUUCUUAGUUGCUAACAGGUUAUGCUGAGAACUCUAAGGAUACUGCCUCCGUAAGGAGGAGGAAGGUGGGGACGACGUCAAGUCAUCAUGGCCCUUACGCCUAGGGCUACACACGUGCUACAAUGGGGUGCACAAAGAGAAGCAAUACUGCGAAGUGGAGCCAAUCUUCAAAACACCUCUCAGUUCGGAUUGUAGGCUGCAACUCGCCUGCAUGAAGCUGGAAUCGCUAGUAAUCGCAAAUCAGCCAUGUUGCGGUGAAUACGUUCCCGGGUCUUGUACUCACCGCCCGUCACACCAUGGGAGUUGUGUUUGCCUUAAGUCAGGAUGCUAAAUUGGCUACUGCCCACGGCACACACAGCGACUGGGGUGAAGUCGUAACAAGGUAACCGUAGGUGAACCUGCGGUUGGAUCACCUCCUUUCUAGA
rnacentral:rRNA from 1 species